rnacentral:rRNA from 1 species
AGAGAGAGACAUGCGCGCAUAUCAAUAAGCGGAGGAAAAGAAACUAACAAGGAUUCCCCUAGUAACGGCGAGUGAAGCGGGAAGAGCUCAAAUUUGAAAUCUUAAAGGGUUUCCCUUUACGAAUUGUAGUUUAAAGAAGUGUUUUCUGUUGAGGUUUUGGUAAAAGUUCUUUGGGAUAGGACAUCAUAGAGGGUGAGAAUCCCGUAUUUGACCUUUACUUUCAACUUUGUGAUACACUUUCAAAGAGUCGGAUUGUUUGGGAAUGCAGUCCAAAAUGGGUGGUAAAUUUCAUCUAAAGCUAAAUAUUGGCGAGAGACCGAUAGCGAACAAGUACCGUGAGGGAAAGAUGAAAAGAACUUUGAAGAGAGAGUUAAACAGUACGUGAAAUUGUCAAAAGGGAGGCGUUUGACACCAGUGUUGUUUUUCUGAAAAUCAAUUAAAGAACUGUUUAUGCUAAGCUGUUUAGACUUUAUCAGCUAACUGUUUAGUUUUGAGCUUUUCUUUAAUGCACUUUUCAGUUAACAAGUCAACAUCAAUUUCUUUUGCUGUAAAAAAGCUUGAGGAAGGUGGCUUGAGAUUCGUCUUAAGUGUUUAUAGCCUCUUGCCUAUGCAGUCGGAGAGAUUGAGGUCUGCAGCGUAGAUCCUUCGGGGCUAAAUGCAUUUGUGCUAAGUUAUAGCAUUUUAUAGACAACUUGUUGACUAUGAUUUGUCUUGUAGCUUACUCGCUUAUGUUAUUUUACCUACGCUUAGGAUGUUGAGCGCAUGUCUCUCUCU